GAAAUGCGAUAAGUAAUGUGAAUUGCAGAAUUCAAUGAAUCAUCGAAUCUUUGAACGCACAUUGCGCCCGCUGGUAUUCCGGCGGGCAUGCCCGUUCGAGCGUCAUUUUAAUCCCUUCCCGGGAGACUCUUCUAUUCUGUAGUGGAGUCACGCGGGGCGUUGGCACUGGGCGCCUUAUUUUUUUAGGCGGCCAGAGCCGAAAUGAAGCGGCGGACUCGCGGCGGCCCCUAGCGCAGUAGAAUAAUCCUUCUCGCUUAGGAGAGCCGCAGCGGCGGACUACAGCCCCUACAUACAAAACCUAUAUAUCAAAACUUGACCUCGGAUCGGGUAGGACUACCCGCUGAACUUAA
rnacentral:misc_RNA from 1 species